ensembl:lncRNA
GGGGCGCUGGCCGCCUGGGCCGGGCCGCACCUGGAGCGCCUGCUGCGGGAGAAGCUGGACGGACUCGCCAAGCUCCGGACUGCUCGGGAAGCCCCGUCGGAGUGUGUCUGUCCACCAGGCCCCCCUGGAAGGCGUGGCAAGCCUGGAAGAAGAGGCGACCCCGGUCCUCCACCGACUUCCUUCCCGAGCCCUAACUGAACUGUCUCGCUCCUGCCUUUCUCCUCUCUCUGCGGGGCUGCGUCUUUCCGUGGCGGGGAUUGGCGUGGGCUCCGGGGCUGCCUGAGGCCAAGCGAGCAGUGUCCAUGGGCAUCUCAGAGGCGCUCGGGCCCAGCAGGUCCGGCCCAGCCAGGGUGUCGGAGCAGUCACGCCUCCUGCCCAGGCUCACCAUCUAGGCCCCAGAUCACGUCGGGAGCGGGGGCAUCGUCACCUCUCAGACGUAGACACCACGUCAUCCGGUGGCAGGAAGGGAGGGGCCCUGAGGAGGGUGAAGCUGGUCACAGGGGCAUCCAAGGAGCGGCCCCCGGGCGGGCAGAUGUCUUCCAUGCCCGCGGGCAGGAAGCUCAGCUCUGUCAGGGAAGAAGCACGCAGCCCACGGGGCCACCACUGUGCCCAGCACCCUCCACUUUCUGACUAGGGGGUCAGCUCCCCACUCCUCCCACAGCAGCCAGCUCUGGGGGAGCAAGGCCUUCCGCCGGGUAUUGCAGCCUUCCGUGUGCAUAGGGAGGAGCUUUCCAGAGGAACUUUCCUCCGGGCUGAUCUCGUUAGCUCACCUUCUGGGGUUUUCUUCGCAAUGCUUUUGACUCGGUGGGUGGCAUCAUAUACUACACAGCAAAUGUAAAAUAUUGGAGGUCAGAAAUGCACUCAGCGCCUAACCUACAGAGCGUCUCAGCAACACGGCCUGCAGCCAGCGGUCUCCCCUCGUGUUCAGAGGUCGAGGCUGAGCCCAGCAUGGUAAGAGAGGACCAGACCUCAUGGCGCUGGCCAGUCGAAGAUCCGACUCAAACACUGAAGGCAGUCUCUGUGAGCACACACUGCUCUCGCGGCCCCGAAAUGCAAAAAGUCCUAACCUGAGCCCUCGUUGGCCAGAGACCUGCAGGCCAAGUGUCCCGAGGGAGUGCGGGAGGGUGAGUGAUUCCUUCCUCUGCCCCAUGCCUGCCCUCCUCCCAGGACCUGAGGCUGGCACAGGGUGGCUGGUGCCUCUGGGGUGACAGCAGGCAGAAGCCUGGCGUGGAGCUGAGCAGCCAGGGCUGGAAUCUGUCCCUGCUGCGCCCCAGCUGCGGAGCCCCCAGAAACCCCUGGGGUCCUGGGCCUUGGGCUUCUUACCUGUAACAGAGGACAACAAAGUCCCUUCCUGGGGGACUGGGACUGGGGUGAAAUGAGGCCAUGUAUACAGCACCUGGGACACUGUGGUGACAGGAAGCAGAGGUGGCUGGUACUGGGCCCUCUGUGUGACUGGAAGCCAGGCAGGGACAGAACUUUUGUCCUCAGUCUGGCCCAGAGAAGGGGCUCUGGAUGCCGGGGUCUGGGGACAGAGACAGCUACAUAUGGAGCCCAAGCGUCCUCUGUCGUGAAGCAGGGAGUGUCCAGGCAGGGAGCAGUGUGGGCCCCGCAAGGGUCACGUCGUUUGCAGGUGCCCUGCAGCAGCCCCUCGGAUCCAGGGAAGCCCCAGCGUGCCAGGCCCAGUGUGGGGUGUGGGGACCUGUCAGACCCCCGAGAG